CAUCUGCGCGUUUACAAAUACACUGUUUCUCCAGGUAGUCGUGUUAGUGUUCGUAAAUUGGUCCGUCGACUUCAUAGAGGCAACCGAAGAGCAAGUCGUGGUGUAUAGAGACCUGUACUUACAGGCAGACACUCUACCGUCAGGUUUCAAUGGGAUAAUGACUAUCUAUGCUUGAACAUAAGGAGCGGACAAAACACUCAUUGG
rnacentral:lncRNA from 1 species